rnacentral:rRNA from 1 species
AGUGAACGCUGGCGGCGUGCUUAACACAUGCAAGUCGAACGAGAACGGAUUAUAGCUUGCUAUAAUUGUCAGCUAAGUGGCGCACGGGUGAGUAAUGUAUAGAUAACCUGCCCUCUAGAAAGGAAUAACAGUUGGAAACGACUGCUAAUGCCCUAUAUGCCUUUAAUACAUAAGUAUGCAAGGGAAACGCUUUAGUGCUAGAGGAUGGGUCUGUAUGGUAUCAGUUAGUUGGUGAGGUAAUGGCUCACCAAGACUAUGACGCCUAACUGGUUUGAGAGGAUGAUCAGUCACACUGGAACUGAGACACGGUCCAGACUCCUACGGGAGGCAGCAGUGGGGAAUAUUGCACAAUGGACGAAAGUCUGAUGCAGCAACGCCGCGUGGAGGAUGACACAUUUCGGUGCGUAAACUCCUUUUAUAUAGGAAGAUAAUGACGGUACUAUAUGAAUAAGCACCGGCUAACUCCGUGCCAGCCGCCGCCGUAA